UGGGGAAUAUUGGACAAUGGGCGAAAGCCUGAUCCAGCAAUGCCGCGUGAGUGAUGAAGGCCUUAGGGUUGUAAAGCUCUUUUACCAGGGAUGAUAAUGACAGUACCUGGAGAAUAAGCUCCGGCUAACUCCGUGCCAGCAGCCGCGGUAAUACGGAGGGAGCUAGCGUUGUUCGGAAUUACUGGGCGUAAAGCGCGCGUAGGCGGCUAUCCAAGUCAGGGGUGAAAUCCCGGGGCUCAACCCCGGAACUGCCCUUGAAACUAGGUAGCUAGAAUCCUGGAGAGGCGAGUGGAAUUCCGAGUGUAGAGGUGAAAUUCGUAGAUAUUCGGAAGAACACCAGUGGCGAAGGCGACUCGCUGGACAGGUAUUGACGCUGAGGUGCGAAAGCGUGGGGAGCAAACAGGAUUAGAUACCCCCGUAGUCC
rnacentral:rRNA from 1 species